AUGCUGUUUGGGUGUGUGGAAUGGAGGCCGUGACUAUGUCCAGUUGGUAUGAGUAGGCUGUGCUCUGACUCGGUCUGGCCUGCUUCCUCUUCCCUCAGAGUCUGUGCAGGCGACCAGCCAGUCUAAACACUACACACCUUACCUUCAGGUCCCAAUAAGGACUUGUUGACCAGAUGGCCAAAAUGAAGGGGGUCUUUGUUUCUGAACUCUCUUUACCUGGCUCACCGUGCAGUGACUCCUGGCAACCUGGCUGUUUGCAAAAACCAGACACACCCUUGCAAGAUGAAGCAUUGCCAUUAGAGAACCAACUUGACUCGACUCUUGUCGAAGGGAGUGGAGCAGCAGAAGCAAGACUGAGUACAGGCCACUUGGUAAGGUAUCUGGUCUUGGGAGGAGACAGGGCUCUUGGAAGAAUGAGAUAGGAGUGUAGAUCUAUAAAUAUGCCUUUGGGGAUUUACAAAUAAUCUCUGGUGAGCUGAGGCAAGGGAGGUGUUUAAAGAAAAAGGUUUUAAUGACAGAGAAGACAGGAAAACUCAAUCCUCUGGGGUCUUGUCAAAUAGCAAAGACAUACUGAUUGGUCACUAGGGGCCAGCAGCAGGGUGUGGGGAGCAGUGCUGGGCAGACAGGCAGCCUUCUGGGAGAGAGCACGUAAAACAAAGAACUGGAACAUUCCAGGUGCUGGUCAAGAGAGGAAGUGCGGGCCAAUGGCAAAGGGCCGUGAUCCCAAUGACCUGUUGACUGAAACACAAAGAAAGGACAUUUGUAUCACCUUGCCUAUUCCAAGGGCAGACAGGAAUGCCUGAAGACAUCACUUAAAGAUUCUGGCUCCAUCAGAAAUACAGAGCAACCUGUGGGAGCUGCGAGCAAAUGGAAGUUGUUUGAGAUGAGAAAAAACCUUAACUCCUUAAUUCUGAGUUUUCACAGCUGUGGUAUUGACACUUUUCUUGCUAAGAACCCACCGUCUUUCUCCAGGAUGGUAAUACCCAGGAGGUGGCCUGUGUUUGCUCAGGUAAUGAAUGUUCCAGCAAACACUAUUUGAUUUACAUGCAAAAUUUCACAUCUCAAACAGAGAACUCAGUCAUGUCUGUAUGCUGCUAUUUUUAUUUUUCCAGUUGAAUAAGACCUUCAUUGGUUAGGGCUGGAUUUUCAGAGGGAAGUGAGGGGGUGUUGGAAAUAACAACUGGCCUUGUACAAAGAUGUCCUGGACUCUGACAUGAAGGAUCAAAAUCAACCUCUUUGGAGGGCUUCUCUCCUCCACUGCCCUUGCUGCUGGAAGAGUCAGAGAGGAAACUUUCCACUCCAGAAGGAGGUGUCAUAGUAGAGAGGAUCAGAGGGAGGCAGGGUGAAAAGUUUACAGCUGUGUUCCAGCCACAGUGGCGAUCAGCUGGCAAAGAAAACAAAGAUGUUAAGAGCACCACACUAAAGGAGCCACUGCAGAAGCCUCUACCUCUGAGCACAGUCACAUGAUUUGUACUGUUAACUCUUCAAAGAACUUUCCUGGAUGAGUUACAUGAAAUCAUAUUUCCACCACAUUGCAUCUUAAGAGCCACGGGGCAUCAUCCAUGCAUCAUCUCAUCCACCUUUCACAAAGGCUUGGACCACCCCACCCCACCCCCGUGCAGGUCCUCUUUGCAGACAACCAGGUGAACACAGGGCCUAGCAUAAUUACAUCAUAUUAUAAUCAGAAUGCAGCCUCGGUUUCUUCAAGGAUCUACGCUGGGAUUUGAAAGAAACAUGUGUGCCCAAUGUAAGAGCUCUGGGAAUGAUACAUUCCCUCACCUCACGAGAGGUGUGGAGGAUACCUUGAAAGCUGGGAAAUAUGAAGAACGAAGUGAAAGAGUCCCAGCUCAGGUGGAGUGAGGCCACUGAGAAGGGCCACUGAGAAGAGCCACAUGGCCUUAGUCAAAUCACUGAGAAUGGAUAACGUUGUGGCUGAUGGGACACAUGCUGUCACAGGUACUCAAAUUCCUCACACAGUUCUCUUACAAACCUGUUUCCCUGAUGAAGACAAAACUUUCCUGGGGCUUCGUAGGAGGCAAGUGGAACUUGGAUGCUUGGUUUGUGCUGAAUCAGAUGCGGGUCUGUCUCCUGUGAGUUCAUGUGCUAAAAUGUGAUCCCUGAUGGGAGGUGGUAAGAAAAUAGAGAGGUACUACAACUGUGUGGUGGGAAGUGGGGCCUUUGGCAGGUGUUAGGGUUAGGUUAGACAGUCAUCUUGAAGCCCAGUUGUUUGAACCCACAUGGCUUUAGAACAGUGGUUCUCAACCUUCCUAAUGCUGUGGCCCUUUAAUACAGUUCCCCAAUCAUAAAAUUAUUGUCAUUGCUACUUUAUAACUGUCAUGAUCCACAGGAUAAGAAGCCACUGCUUUAGAAAGGGAA